UACAUGCAAGUCGAGCGAACAGAUGAGAAGCUUGCUUCUCUGAUGUUAGCGGCGGACGGGUGAGUAACACGUGGGUAACCUACCUAUAAGACUGGGAUAACUCCGGGAAACCGGGGCUAAUACCGGAUAAUAUUUUGAACCGCAUGGUUCAAUAGUGAAAGACGGUUUCGGCUGUCACUUAUAGAUGGACCCGCGCCGUAUUAGCUAGUUGGUAAGGUAACGGCUUACCAAGGCGACGAUACGUAGCCGACCUGAGAGGGUGAUCGGCCACACUGGAACUGAGACACGGUCCAGACUCCUACGGGAGGCAGCAGUAGGGAAUCUUCCGCAAUGGGCGAAAGCCUGACGGAGCAACGCCGCGUGAGUGAUGAAGGUCUUCGGAUCGUAAAACUCUGUUGUUAGGGAAGAACAAAUUUGUUAGUAACUGAACAAGUCUUGACGGUACCUAACCAGAAAGCCACGGCUAACUACGUGCCAGCAGCCGCGGUAAUACGUAGGUGGCAAGCGUUAUCCGGAAUUAUUGGGCGUAAAGCGCGCGUAGGCGGUUUCUUAAGUCUGAUGUGAAAGCCCACGGCUCAACCGUGGAGGGUCAUUGGAAACUGGGAAACUUGAGUGCAGAAGAGGAGAGUGGAAUUCCAUGUGUAGCGGUGAAAUGCGCAGAGAUAUGGAGGAACACCAGUGGCGAAGGCGGCUCUCUGGUCUGUAACUGACGCUGAUGUGCGAAAGCGUGGGGAUCAAACAGGAUUAGAUACCCUGGUAGUCCACGCCGUAAACGAUGAGUGCUAAGUGUUAGGGGGUUUCCGCCCCUUAGUGCUGCAGCUAACGCAUUAAGCACUCCGCCUGGGGAGUACGACCGCAAGGUUGAAACUCAAAGGAAUUGACGGGGACCCGCACAAGCGGUGGAGCAUGUGGUUUAAUUCGAAGCAACGCGAAGAACCUUACCAAAUCUUGACAUCCUUUGACCGCUCUAGAGAUAGAGUCUUCCCCUUCGGGGGACAAAGUGACAGGUGGUGCAUGGUUGUCGUCAGCUCGUGUCGUGAGAUGUUGGGUUAAGUCCCGCAACGAGCGCAACCCUUAAGCUUAGUUGCCAUCAUUAAGUUGGGCACUCUAGGUUGACUGCCGGUGACAAACCGGAGGAAGGUGGGGAUGACGUCAAAUCAUCAUGCCCCUUAUGAUUUGGGCUACACACGUGCUACAAUGGAUAAUACAAAGGGCAGCGAAUCCGCGAGGCCAAGCAAAUCCCAUAAAAUUAUUCUCAGUUCGGAUUGUAGUCUGCAACUCGACUACAUGAAGCUGGAAUCGCUAGUAAUCGUAGAUCAGCAUGCUACGGUGAAUACGUUCCCGGGUCUUGUACACACCGCCCGUCACACCACGAGAGUUUGUAACACCCGAAGCCGGUGGAGUAACCUUUUAGGAGCUAGCCGUCGAA
rnacentral:rRNA from 2 species